rnacentral:ncRNA from 2 species
CUGCGUUCUCAGGGCGGGGUGGAAGUCCCCACCGGCGGUAAGCGGUCGACGCGGUCCUUCGUGACAGCCUGGCCGCAAGCCCGCGAGCGCCCGGCCACCGUCACGGCGGCCGGGGUCAGCAGAUCCGGUGCGAUUCCGGGGCCGACGGUCACAGUCCGGAUGAAAGAGAACCGCG